rnacentral:snRNA from 1 species
AUGCUUGCUUCGGCAGCAUAUAUACUAAAAUUGGAAUGAUACAGAGAAGAUUAGCAUGGCGCCUGCGCAAGGAUGACAUGCAAAUUCAUGAAGCAUUCCAUUAAAAA